AACAUACCCUCCGUCCAGAAAUACUUAUCAUCAAAAUGGAUAAAAGAAGAUGUAUCUAGAUGUAGUUUAGUUUUAGAUACAUCCCUUUUAUCCAUUUUGAUGACAAGUAUUUUUGGACGGAGGGAGUACUAU
rfam:Triticum aestivum genome assembly, contig: Triticum_aestivum_CS42_TGACv1_scaffold_570178_7AS